rnacentral:rRNA from 1 species
AGGGGCGAGCGUUAUCCGGAAUUAUUGGGCGUAAAGGGUGCGUAGGCGGUUUAAUAAGUCUCUAGUUUAAUUUCAACGCUUAACGUUGUCCUGCUAGAGAAACUGUUUAACUAGAGUGAGAUAGAGGUAAGCGGAAUUCCAUGUGUAGCGGUAAAAUGUGUAAAUAUAUGGAGGAACACCAGAGGCGUAGGCGGCUUACUGGGUCUUUACUGACGCUGAUGCACGAAAGCGUGGGGAGCAAACAGGAUUAGAUACCCUGGUAGUCCACGCCGUAAACUAUGAGUACUAAGUGUCGGGGUUAAACUCGGUACUGAAGUUAACACAUUAAGUACUCCGCCUGAGUAGUACGUACGCAAGUAUGAAACUUAAAGGAAUUGACGGGAUCCCGCACAAGCGGUGGAUCAUGUUGUUUAAUUCGAAGAUACACGAAAAACCUUACCAGGUCUUGACAUACUCUGCAAAGCUAUAGAAAUAUAGUGGAGGUUAUCAGGGAUACAGGUGGUGCAUGGUUGUCGUCAGCUCGUGUCGUGAGAUGUUAGGUUAAGUUCUAAAACGAGCGCAACCCCUGUCGUUAAUUGCCAGCACGUUAUGGUGGGGACUUUAGCGAGACCGCCAAUGAAAAAUUGGAGGAAGGUGGGGAUUACGUCAAAUCAUCAUGCCCCUUAUGAUCUGGGCUACAAACGUGAUACAAUGGCUAUUACAAAGAGUAGCUGAAACGCGAGUUUUUGGCAAAUCUCAAAAAAAUAGUCUCAGUUCGGAUUGAAGUCUGCAACUCGACUUCAUGAAGUUGGAAUCGCUAGUAAUCGCGAAUCAGCAUGUCGCGGUGAAUACGUUCUCGGGGUUUGUACACACCGCCCGUCAAACCACGAAAGUGGACAAUACCCGAAAGC